rnacentral:rRNA from 1 species
ACCUUGACGGUACCUAACCAGAAAGCCACGGCUAACUACGUGCCAGCAGCCGCGGUAAUACGUAGGUGGCAAGCGUUAUCCGGAAUUAUUGGGCGUAAAGCGCGCGCAGGUGGUUUCUUAAGUCUGAUGUGAAAGCCCACGGCUCAACCGUGGAGGGUCAUUGGAAACUGGGAGACUUGAGUGCAGAAGAGGAAAGUGGAAUUCCAUGUGUAGCGGUGAAAUGCGUAGAGAUAUGGAGGAACACCAGUGGCGAAGGCGACUUUCUGGUCUGUAACUGACACUGAGGCGCGAAAGCGUGGGGAGCAAACAGGAUUAGAUACCCUGGUAGUCCACGCCGUAAACGAUGAGUGCUAAGUGUUAGAGGGUUUCCGCCC